rnacentral:rRNA from 1 species
GACGAACGCUGGCGGCGUGCUUAACACAUGCAAGUCGAACGGAAAGGCCCUGCUUUUGUGGGGUGCUCGAGUGGCGAACGGGUGAGUAACACGUGGGUAACCUGCCCUUGACUUUGGGAUAACUUCAGGAAACUGGGGCUAAUACCGGAUAGGAGCUCCUGCUGCAUGGUGGGGGUUGGAAAGUUUCGGCGGUUGGGGAUGGACUCGCGGCUUAUCAGCUUGUUGGUGGGGUAGUGGCUUACCAAGGCUUUGACGGGUAGCCGGCCUGAGAGGGUGACCGGCCACAUUGGGACUGAGAUACGGCCCAGACUCCUACGGGAGGCAGCAGUGGGGGAUAUUGCACAAUGGGCGGAAGCCUGAUGCAGCAACGCCGCGUGCGGGAUGACGGCCUUCGGGUUGUAAACCGCUUUCGCCUGUGACGAAGCGUGAGUGACGGUAAUGGGUAAAGAAGCACCGGCUAACUACGUG